rnacentral:misc_RNA from 1 species
UUGACUAUUUUAUAGUGCUUCAGAGGGCUGGUUCGCGAGAGUUUCUGUGCUUUCGGCGGGCGUUUGGCUGCCCCGCCCUGGGGCAGCCCGCCGAGGCAACGCUAGAGACCACACUGGUUUGGAGUCUAAGACCCUAUAAUGAUCCCUCCGCUGGUUCACCAACGGAGA